CUUAUCUCCAUGAUGCCAGGGUAAGGCUUGUCAUGAGAAGCAAAUACCUAAGUCUGAAAAUACUAAUUGCAAUUGCUGUUUAUAGAUGUGAUGAAAAGGGUUAGUAAGACCCUUUUAUGCAACUACUGAAUAAUGCACAAUUAUAAGUGCUGCUGGUUUAAGUGCUCUGCAAAUAUAUAGGCUGCCAUGGCCAAGAAAAACCCUGCCUUUCCCCAAAGAAAAAUGAGAAAAAGCAGGAAGAGAUCCCUCACUAAUCCACUGGUCACAGGCAGGCGUGAGAAACGUCGGGGAAACACACUGCCCUGCAUCAGCUGCUUCUCAAUCCAGAGGAAGGGAUCCAGUGCAUGAGGAAGGCCUUCAGAUAGAAGAUCAAGAGUUGGCAAGUCUUGAAUCAAGACUCCAAGAGUUAAGGGACACUAUAACUGCAGACCAGGUUCCGGAGGGAACAGACAGAAUGGUUUCUGCUUGGGAACAAAGGCAGCUUCUCACAGAUGUGAGAAUGAAAA